GCCUUAAUAGUUUAACUAAAAAUGCUGGUCUUGUAAACCAGAGAUGAUUUUUAAAUCUAAAGGCA
rnacentral:tRNA from 1 species